rnacentral:lncRNA from 1 species
UUUUCAUGUUUAUGUAUAUUUAUAUAGUAUAAGUAUAAAUAUAGAUAGAAAUACUUAGCAGGAUAAAUGGGAGUGCUCUCUCCCAAGCUGAAUUUUGACGUAAUUUCUUCUGAUGUAGCUAGCAGGUGGCAGAGGUGUAUUUGAAAGUCGGCAGUAUCUUGAUAGCGUUUAGAAUGUCCUCCGUCUCCUAGUCUUCGUGAUUCUUGAAUUCUGUGGAGCUCAAAUAGACAACAAAGCUUUGUGGAACUGAUUAAGUGUUAGCAUAAAUAUCUAGCUUUUAUCAUGUUGAGCCUCCUCAAUAAAUGUUACUCUCUAUUUUUAUAUUUUUCGUUUUAUAAAGCAGAAAAGAAAUAUUUAUCUUAUUUUUAUGCCACCACAGUGAAUGUACUUAUGGGUUUCAUGCCACUCGUAUACUCACAUGGGGCUUACUGUUUUUUAACAUUUUUAUUUUCUUUUUAGGAUAGUAUGAACAUGAUUAAUUAAGCAAACUAUUUUAAAUAUUUUAAAGGGAAAGGAUAACUACCAAUUUUACCUCUUGGCAAGGCGUUCGGUGUUUUUAAGUCCUCCGAACGGGACUCUUCGCUUUUUUAAUUGUGCUGGGAUUCGUUGGGUGGCGUAGUCGGUGCUUCCGGCAGCGCCUCCUCUUCAUGUAUAGUUAUCUUCUCUUUCUACACCUGACUUAGUGCUACGAUCUCCUCUGGAUAAUUCUAUUUAAACUGUAUGUCUUCUGACCAUACCACAUCUCCUUCAUAGUCUGCCCAUCCGUCCUUGAUAAUCUGCCUCCUCUGGUUGCGGUUGCGUCGUUUUCUUCUUGUCCUGUCCUGCUUAGAGUCUUCAACGAUAUAGUUAGGGUCAGUAAAAUAGUGGCGUACCUUGAUGCGUCACGUUGUAUGGCAACCAGCACGAAACAUUGUAGAUUGGUACAGUUUUACUUGGCAAGUUGUACCAACAUUCUGUCACGACAGACUGUUGACCUUCUAAGCACUCUGUACUAAUUCUAGUCUGCAGGCAAUAUGGAGUAUCCAAACUAGUCGCCACUAGUUUCAUUGGAAAGUAGACUCGUCAAGCUUUCCAACAAGUACUCAUGGACCUUCAUAGCUUUUGUGAGUAAAAAGUUAUGAAGAUUCUUUGCACUGGUCCGUUUUUGACUUCCACUGGUCCGUUUUUGACUUGUUCUGGAACUUGCACUAGUCCGAUCUUCAUGGUCCGAUUCUUCCUUUUCUUCUUCUAUAUACCUAAGUACAAUCAAGGUACAACACUUAGGUAGUAUAUAAUUCUCAUUAAUGUUAAAAUGAAUCUCAACAAAGUAGCGCGUGGACCUCUUGUUGUAGCUUCUUUGCACGACUACGUGUAAUCGGUCCGUCGAUGACUUGAGCUGGUGUCGGUGUAGGUGAAACUUGAGUGGGUGUAGCUUGACUUGGAGCUUGUGACAUCCUGCUUGGUGGAAUGGUCAUAUCAUCCUCCCCCCCUUGAAAAGGAGUCGUCCUCGACUCUAAAGUGUCUUCACUUGUGAAUGGUGAGAGAUCAACAACAUUGAAGGAGUUGCUCACGCCAUAACUUGCAGAAAGAUCAAUCUUGUAUGCAUUGUCAUUGAUCUUCUCAAGAACACGAAAUGGACCAUCUCCUCGUGGCAGCAAUUUUGAUUUGCGCUGCUGAGGAAAGCGAUCCUUGCGCAAGUGUAGCCACAUCAAGUCCCCAGGUUCAAAUAACACCUUCUUCCUAUGUUUGUUCAUACUUGCAGCCUUGCGUCCUGUCUUGAGUUCAAUUGCUUCCUUGGUCUUCUCGUGUACCUUCUUGAUGUAUGCAGCACGCUUGGAGGCUUCCAUAUUGGUUCUUGCCUGCAAUGGAAGGGGCAACAAAUCUAUCGGAGCAAUAGGUUUGAAACCAUAUACAAUUUCAAAAGGACACAUAUUAGUGGUAGAGUGUACUGCCCUGUUAUAUGCAAACUCCACAUGUGACAAGCAUUCCUCCCAAACCUUCAGGUUCUUUUUCACCAUAGUCCGCAACAACAUUGACAAUGUGCGAUUCACCACUUUAGUUUGUCCAUCGGUUUGAGGGUGACAAGUGGUGGAGAACAAAAGCUUGGUUCCAAGCUUUGCCCAUAAUGUUUUCCAAAAAUAGCUCACAAACUUGACAUCACGAUCAGAUACAAUGGUUCUAGGCAUUCCAUGCAGCCGCACAAUUUCCCUGAAUAACAAAUUAGCAAUAUGUGAAGCAUUGUCGCUCUUGUUACAAGGAAUAAAAUGGGCCAUCUUUGAAAAUCUAUCAACCACAACAAAAAUUGAAUCUUUUCCUUUCUGAGUUCUAGGCAACCCCAAGACAAAAUCCAUGCUUAUGUCUUCCCAAGGAGUUUUAGGAGUAGGUAAAGGAGUAUAUAAACCAUGAGGGUUCAGUUUAGACUUAGCUUUGUGACAGGUAACACAUCGCUCCAUGAAUCUGAUGACAUCUCUUCUCAUCUUGGGCCAAUAAAAAUGAUCUUCUAGCAGCUCAUAGGUUUUCCUUUGUCCAAAAUGGCCUGUCAAUCCUCACCCAUGAGACUCCUGCAACAAAAGCAAUCUAACCGAAGAAUUUGGAACUCAAAUUUUGUUAGCUCUAAACAAAAAUCCAUCUUGUAUAUGAUACUUUUCCCAACCUUUUCCAUUUUUACAAUGAUUAUAUGGUUCUAAAAAUUCAGGGUCAUUACUGUACAGUUCUUCCAAACAUUCAAGUCCUAAAACCUUUACCUCAAGUUGGUUUAGCAACACACUCUUUCGUGACAGAGCAUCAGCAACAAUAUUGUCCUUACCUUUCUCAUAUUUCACAAUGUAUGGAAAUGUUUCGAUGAACUCAACCCAUUUGGCAUGACGACGGUUCAGUUUUGCUUGUCCUUUCAAGUACUUCAAAGCUUUAUGAUCAGAGUGAAUAACAAAUUCUUUUGGCCAUAAGUAGUGCUGCCAUGUUUCAAGCACACGCACCAAAGCAUAUAAUUCUUUAUCAUACACAGAAUAAUUCAGUUGAGCACCUCCUAGUUUUUCACUAAAAUAUGCUACAGGUUUUCCUUGUUGCAUUAAAACUCCUCCUAUCCCAAUUCCACUAGCAUCACAUUCUAUUUCAAAAGUUUUAGUGAAAUCAGGAAGAACAAGUACAUGUGCUUCAGUCAAACGUUUCUUUAAUUCUUGAAAUGCAUUUUGUUGUGAUUUUUCCCAUUUAAAGUCAACACCUUUCUUUGUCAAUUCAUUCAAAGGAGCAGCGAUGGUACUGAAAUCUCUCACAAACCUCCUAUAAAAACCAGUAAGGCCAUGAAAACUUAUUACUUGACUUACGUUUGUUGGAGUUGGCCAAUCCUUGAUGGCUUUCACCUUGCUUUCAUCCACUUCUAUGCCUUUCCUGAAACAACAAAGCCAAGAAACACAACAUGGUCUGUGCAAAAACUGCACUUCUCAAGAUUAGCAAAUAAUUUCUCCUUUCUAAGCUCUUCCAAGACUUGCCAAAUAUGAUUUACAUGUUCCUCAAAAGACUUGCUGUAAAUUAAAAUAUCAUCGAAGUAGACAACAACAAAUUUUCCAAUGAAAGCUCUCAAGACAUGGUUCAUUAAUCUCAUGAAAGUACUAGAAGCAUUAGUCAAACCAAAAGGCAUAACUAACCAUUCAUACAGCCCAAAUUUAGUUUUAAAUGUAGUUUUCCAUUCAUCCCCUAUUUUUAUUCUUAUCUGAUGGUAUCCACUUCUCAAAUCAAUUUUAGUGAAUAUGGUGGAGCCACUUAAUUCAUCAAGCAUGUCAUCUAAACGUGGGAUAGGAUGGCGAUAGCAAACAGUGAUGUUAUUUAUAGCUCUACAAUCAACACACAUUCUCCAAGAACCAUCUUUCUUAGGUACUAAAAUUAGAGGAACAGCACAAGGACUUAAACUUUCACGAACAAAACCUUUAUCAAGAAGUUCUUGCACUUGCCUAUGUAUCUCCUUUGUUUCUUCUGGAUUGGUUCGGUAUGUUGGUUGAUUAGGUAGUGCAGCCCCUGGAAUGAGAUCAAUUUGAUGCUCAAUCCCACGAAUUGGAGGUAGUCCCACUGGUGUUUCUUCUGGAAAGACAUCUUCAUAGUCCUGCAAAAGAUGAGACACAACACUAGGAAGAGAGGUCAUGUCGUUAGCUGAAAUCAAAAUGUCUUUGUAUACAAGUACAAAGAGCACUUGUUCGGGGUUGUUCCUCACUUCUCUCAUUUCAGAUUUUGUGGCUAGCAUGACUAAAUUCUCUCCCUCUCCUUUCUUUUUCUCCCUCAAAUUUGGCUUGUGGCACUCACUCACCGAAUUGUGGAUGGCACUCAAUUUCUUUUGCUCUCCUUCCUCUCUACUCACUGGAACAAUUUUAGAUUUCUUUUGUAAAUGUUCAGCCAUGAUUUGUUGGGGUGUCAUAGGCUUGAGAACAAACUUCUUCCCCGUUAGAUUGAUAGUAAACUGAUUUGUUCUCCCACAAUGUUGGCUAUAUCGAUCAUAUUGCCAUGGCCUUCCAAGCAGCAAGUGACACACCGACAUGGGCGCCACAUCACACUCUACUGUGUCAACAUAUUCACCAAUCUUGAAUGGAAUGUUUACUUUAUAUCCAAUCUUGAUAUCUCCAGAAUCAUUCAGCCACUGUACAUGAUAUGGAUGAGGGUGUCGUAGCAGCUUCAGGCCAAGUUUAUCAGCCAUCUCACGACUAGCAAGAUUAUGGCAGCUCCCUCCAUCAAUAAUCACCUUCACCACCUUAUCAUGAACCUUUGCUCUAGUUUGAAAUAAAUUAUGUCGCUGCCCAUUUUCAGCUUCUUUCAUUUGAACACUCAAGAUUUGAGUCACCACAAGAGCAGCACCAUGCUCAAAUUCACAGCCAGUAUGUUCCCCAUCUUCAUGGGCCUCACCAACAUGUUCUUCCUCAGCUUCCUCUUCACUAGCUGAUUCAAAUUCUCCACUAUCAUUCACAGUGACCACACGAUUAUUUGGACACUCUCUUGAUACAUGUCCACGGCCUCCACACUUGAAGCACUGAAUUCCACUACUCUUGGAAGUGGAACCCACUGAAGUAGUGUUUGAUGCUGCUGGUUUUGAACUUGGGACAGCAAUGUUCUUCCCACUAAAAGUACCCUGAAAAUUAGAUCGUGAGCCUCCACUUGAGCCUUUCACCAUGGAUGGUUUAGCAGAAAACUUGGUGAUUGAUUUGCUUCCUCCAGAGAAGUUCCUCAUACCAAAGGACAAGGACUUGCUGCUCUUAGCAUCUUGCUGCAAUUGACGUUCAGCUUUGGUUGCUUGAUGUACCAAAUCAAUAAGAUAUCGGUAUGGCUGAAACUCAACAAUGCGCUGAAUAUUGCGAUGCAGCCCAGCCAUAAAACAUGCAAUAGUUUGCUCUUCAUCUUCAUACACAUUGGCUCUAAUCAUAGAUUUCUCCAUCUCCUUAUAAUACUCUUCAACAGAGACACUUCCUUGCUUCAAAUUCUGCAAUUUAUCAAAAAGAUCACGCCGAUAGUGCUUCGGCACAAAACGACUUCUCAUUUCUCUCUUCAUUUCAUCCCAAGUUGCAAUAGGAUGUCUUCCAUCUUCUUCACGAUCACUGAGGAGCUGCUCCCACCAUAUCAGAGCAUAUCCUUCAAACUCUAGAGAUGCCAUUGCCAGCUUCUUCUCUUCUGAAUAAUUAUGCAAGCGAAAGAUUUUAUCCACUUUCAGCUCCCAAGUGAAAUAAGCUUCAGGAUCAGACCCACCAUCAAACUUUGGCAUGGUAAACUUCAGUUUUCCUAGCCUCUCCUCAUGAUUGCCUCUUCUAUGAUGUCGGCGACCAUAUCGAUAUUGAGAAUGAUCAUCAUCAUCCUCUUUUUCAGAUUCUUCAUCAUCAUGAUUUCUUCGACCUUGACCUCUGCCCCUACCUCGGUUCCUCCUUCCUUGUUCCCUUGAGCUUCUACUAGCAGCACUUCUAUCACUCAUAUCUCCAUCUUCACCAUGGUUGCUUGCUCCAUCAUGAGGUUGGCAAUGCCUUCUGAUUUCAGUCAUAAGGUUCUGAAGAUCUUGUGUCAACCUAUCUUGCUUUUCUUCUAUGCUUUGUCGGAGUUCAUUAAAUUGUGCCAAAGUGACACAAUCCUCUAUUCCAUCACCCAUCUUCCUGUAAGGUUAGCUGAAUACAAAUAAUUUGUAUUUAUGGAAUAUGAAAAUUUGGUGGUCCACACAACUCACCUCUCUAACCACCAAGGCUCUUAUGAAUUCCUCUGCUGCAGAUUACAAGGAAAACAAAUGUGUGGUGGCAACUGAAAGUGAUGGCGAGGCGAAUACAAGAACAGAGAGUACCGAUUACGAUGGUUUUUUUAUGUGGAGCUUGGUGGGGAGUAAUACACAAGAAAUGCAAUCUGAAUUCUAGUUGUUGUAAAGUUAAGUAACGAUCCAAACUAGAAGUUCUCUGCCUAGUGCUGAUCAAAGAUUCGAAGUGUAUAAAUAGAUCACACACACGCAAAGAAAUUUCAGAAUUGAUGCAAACAAGGAGUAUGAUUGGGAUGCAAGUGUUGGAAUCAAACCCAACCAAAGUUUUGCACCAAACAAAGAUAGCAAACUGGUUGUAGAACUUGAUAUGAAACUUUCAGCCCUUGUGCACAUAAACCAACUAAUCUUUCAGACUUUCUCUCUGAACCUUUCUCAACUUUUUUUUUCACUUCACUUUUUUUGCACUUUCUUUUCUUUCUUUUUUGACACACUUUUUUUAUAUAUAUAGAACUAAAAAUAGGGAUCAGAUUAUGAUACUUGCACAACUAAAGACAGAAAUAAAACAACAACCAGUAGCUAGAUAGGAUCAAAGUUAACACAAAGGAUGAUAUAGGCUAUAGAGAUUUUUUUGUUGGGAUUUUUAGAUAUAAAAGGGGCACAAAGAACACGCGAAGGAUAAAUGAUCAGACUGCGACUUAACCGAACUCACUAAAAUAACAGAUUGAAACAAAGGUCUAAGCAAUAUAUUUUUCUGGCUUUUUGGUGGAUAGGACGAAGCAAAAUAUAUAUGUAGCUAGGGAUAAAAUUCCUACCGUGGUAACGAAAGCUUUGAUACCAGAUAAUGCGUCACGUUAUUCCGAUAUUCACGACGUAGGAUGAACACCGAUAACUAGCUGAAGAACAGCCGGAUAACUUGCUGCAAGCAGCGAUAACUAGUGCAACCUGGCAAAUAAAACUCGAAGCCAACCACCGUCUUUAACCGGCAACCUGAAUCGAGGAUUCGCCCAACCACACUCUCAAGGAACCAACCAACACAGCCUACAAUCAAUCAAGGAAUACCUUGAAGGGAGUAGGAGCACCAAUUGGGAGUGGAUGAAGCCGCCGCCUAUGUAAUCCCGCGAGGAAAUCACAAGAGCAAAGGGGUAGAGAUCACUCUCUAGAUUUGUUAGCACGCAGCUGAACAAAGGGGUUCUGUAUUUCAAUUAUCAAAGUCUUAGAUUACAAUGAGUCUUAGGGGGUAUUUAUACUAGCAAUAGCCCUGCUAGAUAGGUAUGAAAACGAAAUAGAGUUUCUGAGGGAAGGCAAUGUGAAAGGUCCCCUCGAAACGGAUUCCCGAAGUGGCUUCGCGUGACUGUUGGCCUCCAGAGCAGUUUCAAAUAGACUAACCAUAACUUUUUAUUGGGAAGUACAAAUGAUGAACCGUUUCUUGGGUGUGAAACUAGACUCAAAGGGCUUUCCAGCAAUGUAUGCCAACCAGCACGAAACAUUGUAGAUUGGUACAGUUUUACUUGGCAAGUUGUACCAACAUUCUGUCACGACAGACUGUUGACCUUCUGAGCAGUCUGUACUAAUUCUAGUCUGCAGGCAAUAUAGAGUAUCCAAACUAGUCGCCACUAGUUUCAUUGGAAAGUAGACUCGACAAGAUUUCCAUCAAGUGCUCAUGGACCUUCAUAGCUUUUGUGAGUAAAAAGUUAUAAAGAUUCUUUACACUGGUCCGUUUUUGACUUCCACUGGUCCGUUUUUGACUUCUUCUGGAACUUGCACUAGUCCGAUCUUCAUGGUCCGAUUCUUCCUUCUCUUCUUCUAUAUACCUGAGUACAAUCAAGGUACAACACUUAGGUAGUAUAUAAUUCUCAUUAAUGUUAAAAUGAAUCUCACAAAGUAGCGCGUGGACCUCUUGUUGUAGCUUCUUUGCACGACUACGUGUAAUCGGUCCGUCGAUGACUUGAGCUGGUGUCGGUGUAGGUGAAACUUGAGUGGGUGUAGCUUGACUUGGAGCUUGUGACAUCUUGCUUGGUGGCAUGGUCAUAUCAUAUCUUCUCUGAGGGGAAGUGCAUAUGGACUUCUCCAGUUCCAAUGUAAAUGAUUGCUUUAACGGUGCUGAGGAACGGUCUUCCAAGGAUGAUGGGUGGAUCGUACUCGUCUUCUCCCAUGACAAUAACCUGAAAGUCUGUAUAGACAAAAUGAUCAUCUAUUUUGACAGGGACAUCAGUUACUAUACCUUUAACCUCUCGAAAUUACUGAUCUGCCAUAUGGAGUUGAAUGUAUGUUGGUUUUAGGGGCAUGGUUCCGAACAAGAGUCGAUAGAUGACUGCGGCCAUUAUGUUGACGCUCGAUCCUAAGUCGCUAGUCGUCUUGUAGAAGUUGUUUCCAUUUAUGGAGCAAUAGAUGCUUGGCAUUCCUGGGUCAUUCUUCUUAGUCAGAAAUGGUGACUUAAGUCGAUGAUCUUGACCUCCUUGAACUGCAGUGACCAUCUUAGCUGACUCGGUCCACACUUGCUUGUUCCUAUUCCUUCUGAUGGUCCUCUUCCUCGGUUCAUGACGGGAUUGCUCUAGGAUUUGUGUAGUCUUGAUCUUGAAGGAAAAUGUCUCCUUCUUCCCUUUGAUGUAGAAACUGAUCUUGGCAGCACUAGCGUAGAUGAUAGCUCCCGAAGUGUUAAGAAUGGCCUCCCUAAGAUGAUGGGUGCCCUCUCAUCAUUACCGGUCUCUAUUACCACGAAGUCUGCUGGGGCGUAUAAGGUACCAACUGGGACACAGAGGUUCUUUAAUAUUCCUUUUGGGAAACUUAUCGUCUGAUCUGCAAACUGCAAACACAUGGUUGUUUUUGAUAAAGGAUAUAUAAAGAAUUUUUCAUAGAAUACCCUGGGCAUAAUGUUGACGCUAGAGCCAAAGUCGCAGAGUGCUUCUGGGAAGUCCACCAUGCCAAUGGAGAUCGGGAUGACGAGGCGUCUUGGAUCGCCUCUCUUGACCGGCAGAAGGUCUGUAGUAACUUCAAUGACGGGGUUACUCCAGUAGUUACCUGCAUCAAACAUGUCUACAAGAUUUGCAGAUUCUAAUCCUUCCGGUUGUGAUGAUAUACCGGGGUUAGUCGCAGGAACAGCAGCAGCUAUCUGAUUUAACCGAGAUUCAAUCAUCUUAUUAAAUCUAAUUUGAUUCUUGAUGGCAGUAGAGAAAUUAUCCAUUCUAUUAUUUAUAUUUUCUAGCAUUUUAUCAUUUGAUGCCGAUUUCUUAGAUAGGUUAUCUAUUAGCUUUCCUUGAUUAGACACUAACUCUCUCAGAGGUGGAAAAUUAUUAGUAUUAUAAGAAUUGUUACCUUGAUAAUUACCUGAGUAGUUACGCCUCUGUUGAUUCCAACCUUGAUUUUGUUGAGGACGGUUGUAGUUGUUGUUGUUGUUAUUGUUGAUAUAGUUCACAUCCUCAAGCAUCUGAGGGCAGUGAUUGCCUGAGUGUCAAGUAUCUCCACACUCCUCACAAGUCAUGUGAGAGUCGUAGAUGUGCAUAACUUCUUUCUUAUCUCCAGCUCUAUCAUCGAGCUUCUUCAUGAGCAGGUCUAGCUUUGCAGACAACAUGUCUACCUCCUUGAGCUGAUGCAUACCUCCACCUUUCUUGCGUGUCUAGGUCCUCUCUUCAUUCCAGCUUUGGUUGGAAGCCAUCUUCUCCACAAGAGCUGUGGCUUGUGAUAUGGUAAGUGAUAGGAAUGCUCCUCCAGCUGCAGCAUCCAUAGUUUCUCGGGCACUGUUGCCGAGCCCAUGAUAAAACGUCUGCAUUAGUAGCCAGCUCUCCAUUCCAUGAUGGGGACAUUCUAGGAUGUAGUUUUGGAAGAGCUCCCAUGCUUCUGGAAUAGAUUCAUCAUGUUGUUGCUGAAAACUUGUAAUUUUCCCACGGAGAGCAUUGGUCUUGCCCAUGGGAAUGAACUUAGCCAGAAAGUUUGUGGAGCAGAGUGCCCAUGUAGUAUUCUUCUCCUUUGUAGCGUAGAACCACUCCUUCACUCUCCCUAACAGUGAGAAUGGGAAGAGGCGAAGUAGUAUAGCAUCUCUAGGGACUCCUGAUAUGGUGAAUGUGCUGCAAAUCUCCAAGAAGUGUUGGAGAUGAGCACUAGCAUCUUCAUGUGCCUUCCCACAGAACCAUGUUGAUAAGUCCAGGCUUGAGCUCAAAGUUGCCUUCGAUCUCUGCAGCAGGUCCAGUGCGGAUGUUGUCCGUAGUGGGAGCUGAGAACUCAUGGAUCGAUUUGUUCGCCAUGGCUUCAAACUCUGAAGACAAGUUCCGGUGAUCUUCUUGAUUGGAUGAAGCUUCUUGCUGAAGUGUUGAUGAUCUCUUCUUGAGCUUGGCUCCAGUUUUUCUGGAUAACGCUUCGGGAUUGUCAACAAAAUUUCCUUGAAGAUGUCUUCUAUUCAUACAUUACCCUGCAUAAGAUAAAAUAGAAAAAUAUCGGGGUAAAACUGUAUGAGAGAAUUGAUAAGCUCAAUCAUAUUAGUGAUGCGAAUGAUAACUCAAAAUUCUAUAUUCAUUUCUGAUUAGUAAUCAACCUUCCCCGGCAACGGCGCCAAAAAUGCUUGUUAACGUCAUUACCAAAAGUAGACUUAAUUUUCUAAUUCUGAUAACGGCGCCAAAAAUACCAAACCUAUCCCUCAUACCACUUAAGCCAAGUUGUCAUCCCCAGCAUGACAUGAGAGACGCGGUAUUGAAAUAUGCAAUUGCUCAUCUAAAUAAAUAACAAAUGGGAUCUGCAAGCGCACAGAUUAAUACCGAUGUAGCAUUUUAACCGGGAAGUAUUCCAGGUAUCGUUAUUUAUAUUUUUACCACUGGGAAGGGAUUAGUAAUCAUCAAUGUUGAUUAUAGAAUGGAAUAUAAGAUUGAGUAUCUAUCAUUGCAUGUAUAAUUGAGAACAUUUAUCUAACUCUUUCAUACAGGGAUAAGUGUCACAUAAAGGAUAUAUAAAGUAAUGAAUAGUGACAAAGAUAAUUAAUCUGAUCAACAUAACUUAGCCACAUAAUAAAUAUGAUAAGCACCUCAAUUAGAUAUUCUAGCUAGUCAUUAGCAUAGAAUUAGCACGAACUACAAGAAUAAUUCCUAAGUUAUUCUCAACUAUACAGUCUAGCAUAUCAUAGUUAGUGCAAUUAUACUUAGCAAUCAUUGUGAGACAAGAUUACGCCCAUGCAUAGUGAUAUUACCAAGGAAUAUGAGAAACAUCGUAAUCACUCCCCUAUAAUAAUGUUGCUCUGGCAGCCUAAUACACGAGAGGGGGACUAUAUAAGAAUCAAUGGAGCUGACACUACCACGAACUACCCCACCAUUUGGCAUAUAGGGUACAAUCGCAGAUAAAUACGGUAUAAGCACCACGCCUACACAAUAUCUAUCAUUUACCCAUAGAUCCGAUGGAUAAAUGCUAUACGAUCCUAAACAUGUAUAUAAAUCCAAUCUAACUAAGCCACAUAUAUAACUAUGAUAAACUAAGAACAAUAUAAUUGUGAAUAUAAACAAGUAGAGCAAAGUCAUAAGCAAUAUAUUCAAGUAAAACAAAGUCAUAAUCAUAAUAUCGAAGAACAAAGAUGAACAAUUGAAGAACAAUAGAGAAUUACCAAGAAUCCUCUUGACAGAUCCGGAAACCAAUCGAAGAUUGACUCCUUCUAGUUCUAAUCCUAUGUAGCUAUGCUAAUCUAGAUAUCUAAUUCAUGUGGUGGCUCUAGGCUUGAUCAGAGGCUUCUUCUCCCUGAUGAAUAAUGAAUUAGGGUUGAGAGGUGCUCUCUUCCAGGGGCCAGGGGGUCUGGUUUUAUAGUCCUUCCAAGUGAAUAUGGGCCAUUGGAUCAAACCGACAUUGAUUGAACGGUUAUCCUUGAUCCUUUAGGUCGGUGUAGUGUAAUCCCGAAAGAGAGUCCUGAUUGGACUCCAGCAGGGGGCGGGCGCCCUGGUCCCUGUUGACACUAGCUAACACCACUUAGAUACUAGGUUGUCAUCCCUAGCAUGGCGCCAGAGUGUACAAAGGUAUUUAUAAAUGUAAAGGCUCUCUAGAAAAUAAUCUAUUCUAUUCGCAAGCGCACAGAUAAAACACCUCAUUGUAGCAUUUCACCAGGAUAAGUAUUCCAGGUAUCGUUAUUUAUAAUUUUGCUUUAGGGAUCUAAAGAAGAUGGAAUUAAAUCAAGGGACAAAAUCUAUCAAGGCAUAGACUAGAGAUAAACUUGCAAGAACAUGAUUACUAAUGAGAAACUGGUCACACAGUCACUUACUUUAGCAGGGGGUAAACCAUAAAGAUAAUGAUAAUAAAGUAUAAGUUCAUGGGAUAAAGAGCACAGCGAUUAGAAAAUAGACUACUCCUCAUAUAUGUAGGUGAUGUCGGAUUAGCCAGAGAAUGGAUUCUAAGUUAUCUACUAACUACUAAGUCAUAAUCUACUCUAGUUAUCUACAAGAUCAUAUAUAGCAUAAAAGACUCUUCAUUCAUGUAUAAGGAACAUUGAUAAAGUAAAUUAGAACAUCGCAUGACUUACUCCACAAUACCGGUUCUGCCUGUCCUAUCGACGGAGGGUGGACUAUAUAAGAAUCAACGAAGCUGUCACUAUCGCGAACUACCACACGACUCGGCCAAUAGGAUACAUUUGCAGAUAAAUAACAUCUAAGCACCACGCUCACAUGUGAUCUAUCACCUAACUCCCUCGCGACAAGAGCUAAGCGCUUUGCAAACUUAUACAUAAACUCAUUAUCAAUUAGAACUAUAUCAAAUAUAGAACUAGAGCAAACUAAGAGCAUAAUAAUUAGAGACAUCAUGCAAUUAGAACAAUAGAAUUAGAGAAAGAUAUGAAUAAUACGAAUCUUUAUUACCGAAGAUCCGAAUCCAGAGCGUAGUGCUCUACUUCUCUAAUUGCUAUCUAAUCAAACCUCUAAACUUGAAGGAUUAGGGAGUAGCUAAUUCUAAUUCUCUGUGGGAGAGAAGCUCUAAACCCUAACUUUGAUGGCUACCUCUGAAUAAUGAUUUCUCCUCCUCUCCUCCAGGGGCCAGGGGGUCUGGUUUUAUAGUCCCCUCAAGUGAACGUGAGCCAUUGGAUCAAACCGACAUAGAUUGUAUGGUUUAGAUUGAUCCUUUAGGUCGGUGGAGCGUUGUCCCGAAGCAGAGUCCUGAUUGGCUUCCUGGCCAGGGCGGGCGCCCAAGGGGGUUGGUCGGGCGCCCUGCCCCCGAGCCCGAAUCGCCUCCCGUUCGUUCCCGUGGCUUCUGGAUCCUUCUAGAUUGAGGAAAAUUGCGCGGCACGUAAUUAUCUCGUUGUAAACAUGACAUGUGGGCCUUCUCUCUCUAUUUUCUGAUAAACCCCUGCAGAAAUAGAUAAACACCAAAACUCGUGGAAUUCUGUCAGAUAAAACCCUAAUUCUAGAUGUUUGUUUCAUAUUGAUCCUUUUUCAUGUUUAUUUGAUUAUUAAUUUUAGUACUUAAGGACCGUCAACAAACUCCCCCAAGUUUACCCUUUGCUCGUCCCUGAGCAAAUAGCUAAACUCAGACGGAUCAGGAGUUGCUUCGAUGUUUUCUUUCCUCACAGGCACACAUGCUUUUACAUAAAAAAUUCUUCCAGAUUAAAGUGAAGUGUUAUGGAGUUUAGUACCUGCACUUAAAUCUUAAGUAAUCAAAAGACAAAAUAGUUAAGUCAAGCACUAUCCCUCCUGUCUAUACUUCACCUUUGUUCCAGAGUUUUUUCAUAAGUUUUCAAAAUAAAACUCAGAGUUCCCAGCAAUGAUUCUCUCAAGUCUCUCUAUAUGUGGUAUUUGUGGAUCCUUACCAUGAUAUCACUUACCUAUAGCUAAUGGAAUAUUUAAGUGGAGCUCAUAGGAGUGAUAAACAGCUCAUACAUAUGUUGUCUAAUCGAGCCAUGGAUCCAAAGGAACUCAGCAUAUAAUUAAAUCAAGAUGUGCAUGUGUGAUGGAGUAAAUGAUAGUGAUGGUGAAAAUGCAUAAGUGAUAAUAAAAUUUAGUUCUCAUUGCUCCUCAUAUUGCUAUCUCUCCUCCUCUUUGAUCUUUGCCUUGGGAGAACAUGGGCUAUGUCUUUUUCUUCUUUUUUUUCAGGUGGGUAGUGGAUACCCCUAAUUCUACUGUCGGACACUUGUCCAUUUUUUCCGCUCAAGUGGGCAUCUUUGUACCCCUAAUUCUACUUCGGACACUUGUCCAUUUUUACCUCUCGUCUCACUUUCUUUUCUUUUUCGAGGUUCCGGGCACUUGCCCCUUUUUUAUUUCCUCGUAUAUUUUUGCAUAACCCAUGUCUCUUCUGCAUUGAAUCUUUUUAGAGAGAGAGAAUAACAAUAUUUGGGACAGUGAGUGAUAAUAUAUUUUUAGCAAUUUUAAUGAUUGAUGAUGAAUGCUGUGGUAGAUGUGUGCAAGUGAAUAUCUUAAUUUAACCACAUGAAAAGCUCCUAAGGGUCUACACAGCUCGAUCAAACUCAAUGUGAAUAUAGUGAAAGAUGUUAUAGCAAGUAUGGCUGUGGUAGGUAAUUUUGUUAUGCUAGGAACUCAUCAUGUGAUUUGUAAGUUUUCAAAAUAAAUCUCCAGAACUUAGUGUAGUAGAAACAGGAUAAACAGUAGCUCAACUUUAUAUCAUGCCUUUCUUUUACAUAGAAUUUAGUUUUAUGCUUCCCAAAGAUAGUAGUUUUAGUUUUAGUAAUUCCUGGAAGAAUUCUAAUAUAAAAGCUAGGUACUUGUAAGUAAGCAAACAGAGCAACUGUUCAUCAUUUCCAUCAUGUAUAUUUUUGGUCUUUUUAUUUUUUUCUAGAGAUUAAACUUAGCAGAAAAAAUAAAACACACUUAUCUACACACUCUUUUCAUUUUGUUUUCGUGUUUAUAAAGUGCAGUAAAUUAAAGCAAGAAAAUAUUUAUUUGGUUUUUUAAAUUUUCCUUUUAAGGUAAAUUAAAUACUAGAAUAAAAAAGAAUAAAUAAGAAGAGCAAAUAGAAACUUACUUGAUAAAUUGGGAGGAACUCCCCCAAGCUGGAUGUUGCCGUCGGUCUUACCCGAUGUUCCAGAACCGCAUCAUGGUUGUGAUGUUGUCGUUCAUUGUUGUUGUAUCUUGUCUCAGCUCUUCUACUGCAGCGGCAUGGUCCUGGUUGCAUUUUUGUUGCUCUUCCAGGAGUCUUCCAUGUUCUGCUUGCGUGUUCUGGAUGUCGAGGAGGGUGUUGUCGGUACGAGUGAAGAAAGCACCGGCCUCUUGAUAGUAGUCAUUCGUGAAGGCGUAGGAGGCGUCGGAGUAUCGUCCUGCAUCAAAUUGGGGCGGAGGUCUGGAUCCUGAAGCUCCAUAUGGAUCAGUGGAGUACCUGCCCGUAUGAAAAGGCGGGUUUGUCCACUGGUGAUCUUGGCUCUCCGGCCAUGUCUCUUCUGUUGGCUCUUGUGGUUGCGCAUGACGAGCCCACGGGUCUCGAAGGACUCGAGGGUUGUAAUCGCAAUAAUGCAGGUGCGCUGCUUCUUCUGGUCCAGGGUCAGCUCCAUACCAAGUGCGUUCUCAGUGAGUGGUUAUCCUUUCAGAUGCCACUCGCUGUGGAGUUCUCUGGUUCACUGGUGUUGCUGCAAUCUCAAUCAAAAAGUUUUGCACAGAGUAGAGGCCAAGGUUCGGGUUAGGUAACCGAAUCUUGCCUUUAUCAUCAUAUAGCAUAUACAUUAUAUUCCCCUCUUUCUUUAACAUCCGAGCUUGUCUAAAUGUGUCAUAGCCAUGAUAAAUUCUUAAUUCUUCUACGAAGUCCAAUGAUGAGUUUUCUAGUAAGUGAAGAUUAGUGGCUAGACGAGUGAUAAGUGAAGUACACCCUACUGGUCCCUGCAGACUAGGUAUACUAAGCUAAUGUGAAACUAAUAAUGUAACAGGUGAAGUGGGUACUUUACUAAUAGCAGCAUAUAAAAGUUGUAAAUCUCCUACUCUUACUUUCCUAAUAUCGUCACGAUAGAAAAGAUUGUACCCAAGCCACUUGUGGAACAUCCUAAGAGUGGGGUGUUCCAUGUCACUGGUUCGGGCUUGACUAUAAAAAUUAUCUCUAGAUAUUUCUCUCCAAAACUGGUGUCUCUCAAAAUUGGGUAAAUCGGAGUCAAUGUUCAGGAUGCAUCUUGAAGAGAAACCAAGAUGGUCGCUCAGCUCUCUCCAAGAUAACAUAAUUUCCUGUUUAAACAUACGAAAAACAAUUCCCCCCUCAUAGUAUUGUAAAGUGCAAAGAAAUUUGAGGGUGAGAAGACGAGAACCCACCUCAGUUAUAUUCCAAAAAUUGGUCCAACCCAUCAUUUGAAAAUUUCAGUCAAAUUCAGUGUCCAUACCUGUUUCUCGUAGUAGGAUUGGAUCGAUAGUAGGAGUGUGAAUGAAAUCUUUAUUCUUCAAUUGCUGAUAGACUUCCUUCUCUCUUCGGGUCUUCAGUCCAAGGUCUCCUAUCUUGAGAAGGACCUUGACUUGCUGGCCUGAUGAAGAUGAUGGAGCUUGUGUGGGUGUCGGAUCGACGCUCAUCUCUGAUGGCUGUGAGGAGUGUCGGGUUGAACUCCUUGUACCAAUGUUCUUGAGAGCCUUCCCUGCAUUUUUCACCUUCUUAAACAUCCUGCAAACAAAAGUUGGCAAAAACACAACUGGUGGAAAAUGUGAGAUAAAAUGUUAGUGGUCAGCUGUCCGGAGUGUUAGUAGUCCAGGGGUUAAUCGUUCAAGUCAAGUUUCUAUUUUGGUAGAGCCUCCCCCUAAACAACUUUUACUUCCGCUUGGACAGCGGGAACACUAUUUGCUAAGUGACAAUUACUUUCUCAAAAGAACUCCAACCUUCCCUUCCACUCUCCUCUUUCUCUCUACUCUCUUCUCUUCACUACAAAAGCUCCAUCUCGGGAAACUGAGAUUUGUGUGGUUUUCUGAAGUGUUUGUGUGAAGAGAAGGGGAGCUGGAGGUGGCCUUUUAUAGGAGGAAGAGGGGAUAGGGCGGGCGCCCUUGGUAGGUGGGCGGGCGCCCACUUGUGAUGCCCAUCCUGGGUGUGCCUCCUCCACUUGCUUCCUUGCUUUGAUCUCACGAAGAAUAAUGUUGUGUUGGUAGUGGUUGGACGGUGGAAAGAUGUUAGGUGAGUGGAAACAUAUUGGUGGAUGAAAUUAUAUGAUGGGAUGUAUGUGAGAUGAAGUGUAUGACAUGUGGGACCCAAAGAUUGUGGGUCAUGCUUCUAGAAGAUUUAUAUGAUUAAAUAUAAUGCAGGAAAAUCUAUGAGAAUUGAAACUUAUUGAAAAUGAUAUUGGAAAAUAUUUUUGUGCCCCCACAAUAAUUAAUAAAUAUGGGUUGUUACACAACACAAAUAUUAUUUAUCUGGGGCUUUUUUGAUUAUUAUAAUAAUGCUAUGAAUAAAUGUGACUAAUGUAAGAUUUAAUUAUGCAAGAAAUUAAAUAUGAGAAAAAUAAUAAUGCGGGUAAAUACCGAUUUACCUCCCGGUGAGGGUUUGGGAUUUUUAGGUCCCCCAAGCUGGACCUCCAAUUCUUUUAAUCUUCUGAGUUUCCUUCCUCCAGAGAUGGUGUCUCCAGUGGUUCUUCAUGAACUUCCUUCACUGUAGAGUCUCCCUCUGGUCUGGGUUUGAAUGUGAAGUGUUCUUCUUGACCGUUUAUGUUGAACUUGAUUUUUCCCUUCCCGACAUCAAUGUGGGCAUUGGCAGUGCUCAGAAAUGGCCUUCCAAGGAUGAUGGAUACUUUUGAGUCAGGACUCAUGUCCAGUACUACGAAGUCUACUGGCACAAGGAAAUCUCUGAUCUUGACUGGAAUGUUCUCGGCGAUGCCCAACGGGUGUCAAACCGAUUGAUCCGCUAGUUGAAGGCACAUUGAUGUUGGUUCUAGGGUUGCAUGAUCAAGCUUUUUGUAGACUGAUGCUGGCAUCACACUGACACUUGUUCCAAGAUCAUAAAGUGCAUUGUUGAAGUGUUGGUUUCCGAUCGAGCAGUCAAUAGUGGGGCAUCCGGGAUCUUCCUUCUUCUUUGGUGGCUUGUUGAGGAUGGCUGCACUACAUUCUUCUGUCAGCUUGAUAACCACAGUGGUGGGCAGUGGUCUCUUCUUGUUAAGAAUAUCUCUGAUGUACUUUGCAUAUGUAGGUACCUGUAUGGCAUCGAGCAGAGGUAUGUUGACAUAUAAUUUCUGAAUGACCUCUACAAACUUACCACACUGCUCAUCCGACUGCAGUCCUCUGUUUCUUCUGGGAAAUGGCAAAUAGUUGGUGUCGUAAAAAUCUUUCCUCAUUUCUCUAGCUCUUGGUGGUUGGAGCAGAUCUUCUGCUUCAACUGGGCUUUCUUCUUCUAUCACUGCUGGUUGCACUGGUGCUGAUGUCCUUUGUUUCUCUUUUGGGUAUGGUGGAUCUCUGGUAGCUUUGCCUCCUCUAGUAGUUAUAUUCUUUACCUACUCAAUGUUAGUAGCAACAGGCAGUGCAGCAGCUAUCUUUAUUAAUUUAAGUUCUACCCUUUUAUUAAGAGUGUUUUGCUCAUCAAAGGCAGUUAGUAGAAAAUCCAUUUUAUUGUGUAUAUCUUUUAGAGAUGAUUCAUUUGUAUCUAGCCUUUGUUUAACUUCAUCAUUAAUUCUGGUUUGUUGAGCAAUUAUCUCUUUUAAUGAAAGUUGCUUUACAGUAUUACCUGAAUUCAUACCUUUGCUAUUGGGUUGACUUGAAGUUGGUUGAUAUUUGUAUGCUGUCUCAAUGGCCCUUUGAUCUUCUUUGAACUUGGCCCUCUGGUCAAUCCAAUGGAGCAAAUUUUCCAUCUUAGCUGAUAAUGCAUUUACUUCUUCUGGUAUUUCUUUAGUUUGAUGACAUUGUUGAGCUUUAUCUUGGAACCAGCUUUGGUUUUCUGAUAUCUUAUCCAAAAGUAUCUCUGCUUUUCUAGUUGUAAGCUCCAAGAAUGAUCCUUUAGCAGAUGCAUCUAGGCACUCACGAGUCUUCUGGGUUAAUCCAUGGUAGAAGGUCUGCAUAAGUAACCACGUGGCCAUUCCAUGGUGAGGACAAUCUGAUAUGUAUCCUUGAAAAUGCUCCCAUGCUUCUAAAAUGGCUUCUGUCUUUUGCUGUUGGAAACUGACAAUAUUUCCUCUUAAGGCAGUUGUUUUGCCUAUAGGGAAAAACUUUGAUAGAAAGGCAUCUGACAAGUUCGUCCAGUUGUUGAUGUUAUCUUGAUGAGUGUAGAACCACUUCCUCGCUUUCCCUUCUAGUGAGAAUGGAAAAAGGCGAAGUAGUAUGACGUCUUUGUCAACUCCGUUGAUGUGGAUUGUGCUUCCAAUCUCUAAGAAAUUCUGCAAGUGUGCACUGGCAUCUUUAUGUGCCUUUCCACUGAAUUGUGUAACUUGCACCAAAUUGAUGAGGCUUGACUUGAGCUCAAACUCAGGUAUUCCUUCUUCUACUGCAAAUCUUGGACCAGUUGGAAUGUUGUCAAGACUUGGAGCAGAGAAUUCUUGCAAGGUCUUCUGUGCCAUAGCUUCAGCAAUUGGUAGCUAGCUUCUUCUUCUGUUGAUUGCUUUGGUUCUGAUGAUGGAGAGUUGAAUGUAUCCAAAGUCAAUCCUGUUAUACCCUGUAUAAAAAUAUAAACAUAGAAAAACAACAGGGUGAACCUGCCAAAGCAGAGGUGCCUUGUUAUGAUUUCUCACUUAGUAGCUGUUUUAUGCAAUUAUUUCUCUAUAGUCUAGUCUAAAGUUUUAUAUGAAUAACCUUGAUUGAUUUUCUGGCUUUCCUUAAUAUUACCCUUUUGUUCCCUUUAAUGACUUAUUCCUGAGGCUCGUAUAAUUCCUAUAAGAUCCUAUAAUUUCCUAUAAUUCCCCGGCAACGGCGCCAGAAAUGCUUGUUGACACUAGCUAACACCACUUAGAUACUAGGUUGUCAUCCCUAGCAUGGCGCCAGAGUGUACAAAGGUAUUUAUAAAUGUAAAGGCUCUCUAGAAAAUAAUCUAUUCUAUCCGCAAGCGCACAGAUAAAACACCUCAUUGUAGCAUUUCACCAGGAUAAGUAUUCCAGGUAUCGUUAUUUAUAAUUUUGCUCUAGGGAUCUAAAGAAGAUGGAAUUAAAUCAAGGGACAAAAUCUAUCAAGGCAUAGACUAGAGAUAAACUUGCAAGAACAUGAUUACUAAUGAGAAACUCAUCACACAGUCACUUACUUUAGCAGAGGGUAAACCAUAAAGAUAAUGAUAAUAAAGUAUAAGUUCAUGGGAUAAAGAGCACAGCGAUUAGAAAAUAGACUACUCCUCAUAUAUGUAGGUGAUGUCGGAUUAGCUAGAGAAUGGAUUCUAAGUUAUCUACUAACUACUAAGUCAUAAUCUACUCUAGUUAUCUACAAGAUCAUAUAUAGCAUAAAAGACUCUUCAUUCAUGUAUAAGGAACAUUGAUAAAGUAAAUCAGAACAUCGCAUGACUUACUCCACAAUACCGGUUCUGCCUGUCCUAUCAACGGAGGGUGAACUAUAUAAGAAUCAACGAAGCUGUCACUAUCGUGAACUACCACACGACUCGGCCAAUAGGAUACAUUUGCAGAUAAAUAACAUCUAAGCACCACGCUCACAUGUGAUCUAUCACCUAACUCCCUCGCUACAAGAGCUAAGCGCUUUGCAAACUUAUACAUAAACUCAUUAUCAAUUAGAACUAUAUCAAAUAUAGAACUAGAGAAAACUAAGAGCAUAAUAAUUAGAGACAUAAUGCAAUUAGAACAAUAGAAUUAGAGAAAGAUAUGAAUAAUACCAAUCUUUAUUACCGAAGAUCCGUAUCCAGAGCGUAGUGCUCUACUUCUCUAAUUGCUAUCUAAUCAAACCUCUAAACUUGAAGGAUUAGGGAGUAGCUAAUUCUAAUUCUCUGUGGGAGAGAAGCUCUAAACCCUAACUUUGAUGGCUACCUCUGAAUAAUGAUUUCUCCUCCUCUCCUCCAGGGGCCAGGGGGUCUGGUUUUAUAGUCCCCUCAAGUGAACGUGAGCCAUUGGAUCAAACCGACAUAGAUUGUAUGGUUUAGAUUGAUCCUUUAGGUCGGUGGAGCGUUGUCCCGAAGCAGAGUCCUGAUUGGCUUCCUGGCCAGGGCGGGCGCCCAAGGGGGGUGGGCGGGCGCCCUGCCCCCGAGCCCGAAUCGCCUUCCGUUCGUUCCCGUGGCUUCUGGAUCCUUCUAGAUUGAGGAAAAUUGCGCGGCACGUAAUUAUCUCGUUGUAAACAUGACAUGUGGGCCUUCUCUCUCUAUUUUCUGAUAAACCCCUGCAGAAAUAGAUAAACACAAAAACUCGUGGAAUUCUGUCAGAUAAAACCCUAAUUCUAGAUGUUUGUUUCAUAUUGAUCCUUUUUCAUGUUUAUUUGAUUAUUAAUUUUAGUACUUAAGGACCGUCAACAGUCCCUAGGGCGGGCACCCUGGGCCAGGCUCUGUUCUGCCUCCGCUUCGUUCCCGUGGCUUCUGGAGUCUUCAAGGUGUAAGAAAAUUGCACGGCACGUUGAUAUCUCUCUGUAAUCCCGAUGUGUGGGCCUUUCUUCCGUAAUUCCUGAUAACCCCCUGUAGAAAUAGACAAACACCAAAACUCAUGGAAUUCUGUUAGAUAAAACCCUAGGUCUAGAUGUUGAUUUCAUUUGGAUCCUUUUCUUUGUUUAUUUCUUAAUUAAAUUUGAUACUUAAGGACCGUCAACAACAUCAUAAAAGACAUCAUCUGCAACAGGUGGGAAUAAACCCUGAGUACGAGGAUGUACUCAGCUAGACUUACCUGUCUAACCAAACAUAAAAGACACCAAGGAUCUUGCAAGGCUGAGUAUGAAGUGUUGCUGGGUUGACUUAACAUUUGCCAAAAGCUUAAGUGGGUACUACCUUUUGUAAAAGCAUCAUAUUAAUCAUCAUUAGCCUACCAGUAGAUUAGCACUUGGACUAAACACUUCACUUGAUUAUUGCAAACAAUAAUAACCAUAUCAAGUUCAUCAUAUGUUCUUCCUUGCUAUCAUCAACAUCAUUAUCAAGAACCAUUGUACUUAGUGAUUGCUACGUUUGCCACUGCUCUGUCAAGUUCUCACUAUCCGGGAGAGACGGCGAUUCGAAUCGAUUCCUAACCAGCUGGAGGGUUAUUCCUAGCACUCACCCAAGCAUCCCCUGUCGGAGAGCAUGCGGGUCACCUUUGGUACGACUCAGGAAUCGCAGCUCCGAUCAGCGCCGCACUCCCAGUGCUGCCACUCUGCUAGGGAGGUCAAGACUUUUAACUCACCUGCCUUUGGUCUUACGCCAAUGGCCCCCCGCAAAAUGCACUUCCUCCGGUAGUGCGCACUUUAUACUUGCCGGUCUUCCGGCCUGAGUCAUACUACUAGGCUUUGCGGUCGGAACGAGUUAUCCGGCCAACUAAGUGUCAGGCAUGCGUUCAACAUGACAAGAGGACGUACAACGAUCGGUCCUUAGCUGCCACAGAUGGAGUUACUAUGACCUUGCAAAACUCCGCCCGGCUUAAGUCAUUUUAAUCAGGUUCUUUCCCACGAUAUCACAUAUAGUCAAUCGUGAUCCGACACAAUCCUAUUUUGCGCAGGUGACAGGAUAUCACCCGACUUCUAUCGGUUAUAGCAUGGCUAAGCUGCUACUCGAUCCUAACUCCACAACCAGGUAGAGGUAAGAUAUCUGGACAAGGAAAGGGUAUAAUGCAGCAAGGAUUUCAUCACAACUCCUAUACGUAAUGCAUCAAUAGAUAUAACUUAAUCAAGUAUGAUUUCAAAAUUAAAGUGGGAGACUUAAGAUGCUCUGGGGCUUGCCUUUCACGAACGAAGCUGGCUCAUGAUUAGGGCACACGACCUCCUCUUUGGGCUCCUCUUGUCCGGCUGGCUAGACCUCCACCUCCAGAGUGAUCUCUGGGCCUUCGUGGAUCCCCCGGUCGAGCUCGAACGAGGCUGCCGCUUCCAGUGCACCUGUUGCAUGCACGAUGAGUAAGCAAUGUGUCCAUACUAGAUGAGAAUGAAUGCUUGGUAACAUGAUUAGAACUUCACUAGACACUCAUUUAUGGAGUGAGUCCCAUUACAAGCUCACAAAAUAUGACUAACUAACUUAGUAAUAUUCACCAAGUUAAACCAUAAACAGCAACAACCAAAUAACAGGGCAGUUCAAAGAACCAAUCAUAACUAAAGCUAUACAGAUCCAACAAACAUGAAUGAGGAUAUUCUGGAAAGUUUAUGAAAUUGUUUACAUUUCAUCUUUAGAUAUCAUAGCAAGAUUCACAAGUUAAACAGGUCAACUAAACAAAGUUCCAGGUUCUGUCCCAGAAAAACAGAGAGCACCUAGUUCUAGAACCCAAAUUGGAAGAGCCAUAACCUUUAAACUACUGGACCACAUGAUCCCAAAUUUGAACUGUAGCUAGUUCACAAAGUUUACAACAUCUUUAAUAUAGACAAGUUAGUCAGAAAACAAAAUUAUCUUUAGACAACAAUCAGAUUACUCUCUUGCUGUCCAGAACAGCUAUAAACCUUUAAUCAAUUAUUUGAUGACAUAGCAAAAACAUAUUUAGUGUCAACCAAGUGGCUUAUAAGCACAAACAUAACUUAAGAUUAUCAGAACAUCACAUGUUGACCCCUAAACAUGCAAUAACAAGGCAUUUAUUAAUUUAAUUCCAUAAAAGGACAUAAUUACAAGAUACCAGCAAGAGUGCUCAGCAAAAUCUACAAAAAUUACAGAAGCAUAAGCAUAGCAUCUGGACAUUACCAUAAACUUUUCAGAACAAUUGCACAUGCCAAACUUAAGAUAAGUAAUUAACAAGUAACAAUGUGCUUAUUUCAUAAAUUAAGAAACAUGGCUUAGAUAGUGUCAAACAACAGAUUUCAGAUUAUUUAUAUGUUACUACUACUAUAAAAAAGCUUGACACCAAAGUAGAACACCAGCAUAAGCAUCAAACAUUUAUUAUGAUUUUAAUUAUGAAAUCAAGCCAUAGUAUUAACAUAAUUUACAUAUCAGAGAUACAUCACUCCACAAAUCAUGAAAUAUUUAUCAGAGCAUUCUAAUACCAUCUAGAGCACGGCAUAAAAAUUUCACAGCAAUUGGAGCAGUAUAACAAACGAUAUGAAUUUACACAUAAAUAGCAAGAUUAAUUCAUAACAAUUAUUUUUCACAGAAAACAUGGUGCAUGUUAUAUUUUUAUUAAAAACUAGCCAUCCCAUGGACCAUCACAAAUUUGUUUCACAAAUUUUGGUGCUCAGAAACUAGAGAUAUGAUUUUUACAAGUUUGCAAGAAAUCUGGAUUUUAAAUAAAAGAGAGGAGGGAGCCGUUGUGUCACUGACAGUGGGACCCGCGUGUCAGGCUGUUCUUCCUCACGACCGAGACGAUGCUCACCGGCGAUUUCUCCGUGACGGCGAGGUCUCCGGCCAAACCAAGGGCACCAACAUGAUCCCCAGACACUUGCGAACCGGUUGACCCCUUUUUUCCCAGUGGAGCCACCGGAAGGGGCUCGCCGUCGACCAUGGCGGCUCGGCGGAGAUGCUCGGCGAUACGCCGGAGCUCUCAGGGCGGUAGAGGGUGACCGAGGGUUUCCUAUAGCACCAGUGAACUAUGGCGAAGCUUUCUAGAUAGGUGACUAGGCUUGAAACAGUGUGGAAAGGGCUGACCACGAGAGGACCGGACUCCGGCGGAAACACGGCGGCGCUGCGCGUCGUGUACGACGACGGUGAGUGCGGUAGUGUCCCCCAAGUGGCGCAGACCGAAGGGUUCACCCCUCCAGCGAUGGAGUCAUACCUCGAGGCAUGUGACACUAAGUGCCUAAAAGCCACGACCGAAGGGUUCACCCCUCCGGCAUAAGACACCACUCUUACUCCACAAGAGCAAGAGAAUUAGAAGUGGAAUGCAAACGCCAAAAACCACAUCUUUAGAGGUCUUUUGAAAGAGGUGUUUAACCACGUAAGGAACCACAAAACCGCCCAUGAGUUAUGGAAGGAACUUUGUGCGCUCCAUGAGGGAUCAAAGAGUGAGCGUGAGGAAUGCUUUCAUCUUGCGAUGAACAAGCUUAAUACAUUUGAAAUGCUUCCAAAAGAAAAUGCUAAUGAAAUGUAUUCUCGCUUGAAUGUCAUUGUAGAGGAGCUAAAUGGACUUGGGCUCAAUCAAAUGUGUUCGGCGGAUGUGGCGAGGAAGAUACUAUGUGUUCUCCCCAUUGAGAAAUAUGGGCACAUAGUUACCGUGCUUCAUCAAGGCGAUCUCUCCUCCGCCACACCAACGUCCAUCUUGGGGAAGAUCAACGCUCAUGAGAUGUACAUGCACAUGAAUCCCCAAGAUAGCUCUUCAUCAGCCAAGAAGGAGAAGAAGGACUUGGCCCUCAAGGCUUCUCACAAGGGCAAAGCCAAGAAAAUUGAAGUUGAGUCAUCAACUUCAAGUGAUGAUGAUGCAUCCAUUGCCCUCUUGGUGAGAAAAACCACCAAGAUGUUGAAGAAGCUCAACAAGAAUGGAGUCAACUUUGACUCCAAUAAGAAGAAGUUCUUCAGAAGUAGCAAGAGCAAGCCCAUCUCCGAGAUGGAUUGCUACAAUUGUGGUGAUCUUGGUCAUCUUGCUCACCAAUGUCCCAAGCCCAAGAAGGACAAGUACAAGAAGAUGAUUCAAGUGAUGAAGAGAAGAAUGACAAGAAGCCAUACAAGAAGAAAGGUGGCAAGAAUAAGGAGUAACACAAGAAGAAGAAUGGCAAGGCUUACAUUGUUGGUGAUUGACUCACCGACAUUGAAAGCACAAGUGGUGACUCCUCCAGCAAUGAAAGUGAUGAUGAGAAGGUUGUUGGGUAUUUUAAACGCAAACAGAAAAAUCCGCAAGCGCACGGAUACCGAUGUAGCUUUCACCCAGGAGUAUUCCAGAGUAUCGAUUUUCCACAGAGAACGUGAGUGUACUAAUUAAGAUCCAAGAUCGCCCAAGGAUAACUAUAUAAUUAUUUUUGGUGGGAAGAGAGGAAGUUUCUUGAGAGUUCUCUAGUUGAUCUAAGAAUCAAGAAUUACUUCAAGAUUAUCUAUAUCGGGACAUCAGAACACUAACCACAGAAAGAGAUGAGAAGGGGGCUAGGAAGCUCCGACUACGGUCCUACAAACACCGAUCCGAACGAGGUGGAAUACGUCGACCGUUAGGGCUGUCACUACCCUAAGGCUACCACAACAAUCCGCAGGAUUGGGUGCAAUUCCAGGUAAUUGCAAGACUAAACACCACGUCUAAUCUAUUAAUCACUACUCUAAUGUUUCAAAGAUUAGAGCACUUGAUGCAAGCGGGAAUCCAAUAAAUAACUUGAAUGUAAAUAAAAAUAAUUAGAGAACUCAGGAGUUAUGAAUUGAAGAACCUGGAGAACGAUGAAGAAUGAACCAGAUGCUGCAAAAGUACAAUGUUGAGGAAGAUCCGACAGAUCCGGCUCCUCCUCCACUCUCCUCUUCUGUCUCCCUAUUUUCUAGAUUACAACUAGAACUAACUAGAACUAGAACUAGAGGAACUAGAACUAGAACUAGAUGAACUAGAACUAGAACUAGAUGAACUAGAGGUAGAACUAGAAGAACUAGAGGGAUCCUCUCUACUUGGAUGAAGAAUUGAAACCUUAGCUUUGAUUCUGUAGAAGAGGUAUGAUCUCCAGGGGCCAGGGGACCUUGCUUAUGUAGUCUUUUUAGAUGAAUCUGGGCCGUCGGAUCAAACCGACAUUGAUCGUGUGGUUUUCCUUGAAGUAUUAGGUCGGUGGAGCAUAAUCCGCGAAACGUGUCCUGAUUGGGCACUGUAGCUGGGCGGGCGCCGAGGAGAGUAGGGCGGGCGCCCUGCCUCUGAGCCCGAUUGCCUUCCCGUUCGGUCCCGUGGCUUCUAGAGUCUUCUAGAUGAUAGAAAAUUGUGCGGCACGUUAAUAUCUCUAUGUAAACCCGACGUGUGGGCCUUUCUUCUGUAUUUCCUGAUAACCCCCUGCAGUAAUAGACAAACACCAAAACUCGUGGAAUUCUGUCAGAUAAAACCCUAAGUCUAGGUGUUGGUUGCAUUUGGAUCCUUUUCCAUGAUUAGUUAACGGUUAAAUGUGAGCAUUAAGGACCGUCACCAAGCUCCCCCAAGCUUAACCUUUGCUCGUCCCUGAGCAAAGAUGAACUCAAGAGUUUCUGCAGUGGUUUCAUGCCUUAAAGAUACACAUGCGUUCAAACAAGAUCUCAUCUCUAGGUUAGGGUAAACUGUUAAGAUUUAAACUUACUCAUAUUACCUUCCACCAUGGGGCUUGCAACCGUCACUUGUGUCUAGAGUAGUUAAAAGAUAGAACGGUCUAGUCAAGCGCCAUGUCUCUUGUUCUUCGAUUAACUAUAGCUCUGGAGUUUUUGCAUAUUUUCAAAUAAAACUUAGAGAUUCCUUGUAUGACUCUCUCUAGUCUCUCUUUUGUGGUAUUUCUGGAUCCUUACCAAGGCAGUAAUGGUGUAUGCCUUCUCUCAAAGUAUGUGGUAUUUUUUGUAUGAGGCAUAGUGACAUUGCCUUCUAGCUCACCCUACUCUAAUAAGGUUUUGAUAUCUGGAGCUCAUAGGUGGAAGACAGCUAAUACAUACUUACAAGACAUUUAUUGCAUAGUCAAACCAUGGAUCCAGAGAAACAAGUCAAUAAGUCAAAUCAAGAUGUGCAUGUGUGGCGAAUGAAUGGUGUAUGGUGGUGAAAAUAAUGGUGAAAGUCUAAUUCUACUUUUGCUCUUUUGAGGGAAUACAUACCUUCCUUGCUCUUUUGAAACUUUUGGGGAGAAUGAGAUGCUCUGUAUUUUCUUUUUCUUUCCUCUCAAGUGGGUAUCUUGUACCCCUAAUUCUACUAUCGGACACUUGUCCAUUUUUACCUCUCGUCUCACUUUUUCUUUUCUUUCGAGGUUCCGGGCAUUUGCCCCUUUUUAUUUUCUCGUAUCUUUUUUUUCUCUUUUUUUUUUCUCUUUUUUUAGAGCACUCAUCUCCUGAAAUAAUAUAGCAAGUGGUAGUAACAAGAUAACUUUAGCAUUUAUUUCAAAGGGGAAAACAGAAAUGUUUUUGGCUAUUCUCUCCCGGAUUAGGAGGAGAAUAUUUUUUUGGGUGGUUCUGGAGAUAGAAAUGAGUGGAUUUAUGUGGAUGCGUACUUCCAGAGUAGAAGCAGCAUGUGUGAGUGAACGUGCAAGUGAAUCUUGACUUAACCACAUGACAAGCUCCUAAGGGUCUACACAGCUUGACCACACUCAAUGCUCAUAAGCAGUAAAAAGUAAAUGUGUUGCUCAAAGUCUAGCAAGCAUGUAUAUAUGGCAGUGGUAGGAAUUUAAACUCUCAUCAUACAGGAACUCAUCAUGCAACAUUUUAAAGAUUUUCAAAAAUAAAAUUCUCUAGAAUUCUAGCAUCUCUAGGAACAGAUAAAUAGCAGCUCAACCUUCCCAUAUCAUAUCCGUUAACAACUGAGACUUUAGAUCAAGUACUCUCCCCACAAGUUCAGGUUUAGAGCAAAUCUUAAUUAAUAACAGUCAUGCCUAAACUUGAAAGAGAUUUCAAUUUUGAGAACUAGUCAUGGCAGAGCAACUGUUCAUUAUUUCCAAGUGAGAGUUUAUCAUGAGGUGUCAUAGCAAAUUUUAUUUAUUUAUUUAUUUAGCAAACUAAGCAAAGAUAUAUAUAUAAGCACAAAAUCUUUAUUUGGGUUUAUAUGAUUAUGCAUCUUUUUAUUAUUAGAGUAAAGUAUAAACGUGAGUAGAGCACUUAGCUGGAUAAAUGGGGGUGCUCUCCCCCUAGCUGGAUUUUGACAUAAUUUCUUCUGAUGGAGCUAGCAGGUGGCGGAGGUGUAUUUGAAUGUCGGCAGCACUCUGACAGCGAUUAGGAUGUCGUCCGUCAGCUAGUCUUCUUUGAUCCUUGAAUUCUUUUGGCAAGGCGUUCGGUGUUUUUAAGUCCUCAGAACGGGACUCUCCGUUUCCUGAAUCAUCCUGGGAUUUGCUGGAUGGCGUAGUCGGUGGUUCUGACGGUGCUUCCUCUUCGUGUAUAACUAUCUUCUCUUUCCACACCUGACUCGGUGCUAUGGUCUCCUCAGGACAGUUUUGUUCAAGUUGUAUGUCUUCAGAUCUUACAACUUCUCCUUCAUAGUCUACCCAUCCAUCCUUGACGAUUUGCCUCCUCUGGUUGCGGUUGCGUCGUCGUCUUCUUGUCGUGACCUGCUUAGAGUCUUCAACUAUAUGGUUAGGGUCAGUAAAACAGUCGCGUACCUUCUCUGAGGGGAAGUGCAUGUGGACUUCUCUGGUUCUAAUGUAUAUGAUUGCUUUAAUGGUGCUAAAGAACGGUCUUCCAAGGAUGAUGGGUGGAUCGUACUCGUCGUCUCCCAUGUCAAUAACCUUCAAUCUUUCAGAAUGUCUGAUCUGCCAUCUGGAGCUGAAUGUAUGUUGGUUGUAGGGACAUGAUUCCAUGCAGGAGCUGAUAAGUGACUGCGGCCAUUAUGUUGACGUCGGAUCUGGUGUCAUAGAGUAUCUUCUGAAAAGAAUAUCCGUUAAUGGAGCACUGGAUGCUUGGCAUGCCUGGGUCAUCCUUUUUGAUCAGGAAUGAUGACUUAAGUCGACGAUCUUGACCUUCUUGAACUUGAGUGACCAUCUUAGCUGACUCGGUCCACAUUUGCUUGUUUCUAUUCCUCCUGUUGGUCCUCUUCCUUAGUUCAUGUCUGGAUUGCUCUGAGAUUUGUGUAGUCUUGUUUUUGAAGGAAAAUGUCUCCUUCCUCCCUUUGAUGUAAAAACUGAUCUUGGCAGCAUUAGCGUAGAUGACAGCUCCCGAGGUGUUCAGGAAUGGCUUCCCCUAGGUAUAAUGUUGACGCUGGAGCCAAAGUCGCAGAGUGCUUCUAGGAAGUCCACCAUGCCGAUGGAGAUUGGGAUGACGGGGUGUCCUAGAUUGUCUCUCUUGACCGGCAGAAGGUCAGUAAUUACUUCCACAACGGGGUUACUCCAGUAGUUACAUCCUCAAGCAUCUCAGGGCAGUGUUUGCAUGAGUGUCCAGUAUCUCCAGCGUGUUUGUGCUCAUAAAUCUAGGUUCUUCACUUGGUGGAGUCUGGGAGUUGUAAAACUCCUUCAUAUUUUGCU